UACGUAGGCAGCAAGCGUUGUUCGGAGUUACUGGGCGUAAAGGGUGUGUAGGCGGUUGUUUUAAGUUUGGUGUGAAAUCUCCCGGCUCAACCGGGAGGGUGCGCCGAAUACUGAAUGACUAGAGUGCGGGAGAGGAAAGUGGAAUUCCUGGUGUAGCGGUGAAAUGCGUAGAUAUCAGGAGGAACACCGGUGGUGUAGACGGCUUUCUGGACCUCUGCUGACGCUGAGGCGCGAAAGCGUGGGGGAGCGAUCCGG
rnacentral:rRNA from 1 species